GAGAAAAAUACUUCGACAAAAUAGCAAGCAAUUAUUGCCAAUUUAGGUCAACCUGGGUAGAUGUUCAUGCCGGCAAUGAAAGAUGAAAUAACAGGGUACUGAGUGUGCUAUAACAUCCUACAGAGUUAACAUCCUUUUAUAAAGGGGAAAUAAUACUUGACAAACUUGCUACAGUGCUUUGAGAAGGAAACAAACAUUACUGAUGAAGGACCACCAGUUGAUGUCGUACAUUGAGAUUUCAACAAAGCAUUUGAUAAGUUCUGCAAGUUUUUGCGUAAACUGGUGGAGACUUUCGGUGCUUGCAAAAAGGCUCACCUCUCCGUUGAUACUGAAGGAAAAUUGGAGUUUAAAAAACCAUACGAUGAGACUGUUUUGAUGAGGAAUUUAAAGAUUACGAGUCCUGUCCGUUUGACCCACAGUUUGGUACCAUAGGUUGGUACGAUCUUCGUUCGAGAAGGAAAAGGGAUGUUCCAGAUACAGAAAAUCGUCAAACCAUUUACGACAAAGUCCGUUUCUGGGUGGAGUUAGUGGAACCGAAAAAGAUGUCUCCCUCACAGCGUUUGUGACACAAGAAUUGCAUCGUUCCUUGGCGGCCUUUCAACAGAAGAAUAUUCAGAGAUUUCCCGAGUGGACACAAUCAUCGCCUUGGAAGCUUCAUCACGAUACUACUUUGCAUUUCUGAAGAGGGAAGAAGAAAUCAAUAUGCAAAUUCAAUUCCAUGGUUUUGGAAGUCCCAUUGAGAACACGAUUCAUUUGCGCCAGCACAAUUCUCUGACCGAGAAAGAAUUGAAGUUUCCACUUGGAAGAAAGAUUCACAUCAAAUUGACUGGUCAAGGAAAUGGGACACUGACUAACCAUACGAUUAGACUGUUUUGAUGAGAAAUUUAAAGAUUACAUGUCCCAUCCGUGUGACUCACAGUUUGGUACCAUAGGUUGGUACGAUCUUCGUUGGAGAAGGAAAAGGGAUGUUCCAGAUCCAGAAAAUCGUCAAACCAUUUACUACAAAGUCCGUUUCUGGGUGGAGUUAGUGGAACCGAAAAAGAUGUCUCCCUCACAGCGUUUGUGACACAAGAAUUGCAUCGUUCCUUGGCGGCCUUUCAACAGAAGAAUAUUCAGAGAUUU